rnacentral:rRNA from 1 species
UAAAUAUAAAUAGUUAUAGUAUUAUGUAAAUAAAGAAUUUUUGAUUUUAGUAGAUUUUUCGAAAAAAUUAAUUUUGGGGUAGAGAAUUAGUAUUGUGAGAGAAAGUUUUAUUUGCUGGGAAAGAAAAAAUAAUUUUUUGUACCUUGUGUAUCAGGGCUUAUUAAAAGGGUAUUAAAAUUUUAAUUUUCUCGAAUUUGAAAGAGCUAUUUGGCUAUAUUUUUUAUUGUAGCAUAAAUAUUGUUAAUAGCCAAGUAGGGGUGAAACGUUAAUCGGUUUCAAAUAUAUCUAGUUUUCUAAGAAAGAAAUUUAAUUUUUUCUUAUUUUGAUUAUUUUUUUUAUUUUUUAGUUAUAUAUUAGGUAAGGGGAAUAGUUUAGGGGUUGAGCUUUAAACUAAAUUUAUAAAAUAAAUUAGGGGUUAUAUUAAAAAUAUAUAGGAUUUGGAGUUUCUAUUUAGUGAUUUAUAUCUUAAUUUUUGUUUAUAUAAGAUUUUUUAAAUUUAUUUAUAUUUUUUAUUGGAAUUUAGGCUUAAUUAAGUAUUGUUUAGUAAAAAUGAUAAGAUUAGUAUAAAAUUGAAAGUUAUUUAUUUGUGAUGUUUAAAGGUUUAGUUAAGGAACUCGGCAAAUAUAUUUUCCACCUGUUUAUUAAAAACAUGGCCUUUUGAUUAUAAUUUAAGGUCUGGCCUGCCCAAUGAUUUAUUAAAUGGCCGCGGUAUACUGACCGUGCAAAGGUAGCAUAAUCAUUAGUUUUUUAAUUGAAAGCUUGUAUGAAAGGUUGAAUGAGAAAAUUUCUGUCUCAAUUAGAAUUUUUUAGAAUUUUAUUAUUUUGUAAGAAGGCGUAAAUAAAUGUAAAAGACGAGAAGACCCUAUAGAGUUUUAUAAUUUAUGUAGAAAGGGUAAUUAGGAUAUUUUUCUUUAUUUAUUUAAAUUAUUUGGUUGGGGUGAUUGAAUAAUUUAGUAAACUUUUUUUAUAUUGAGUCAUUGAUAUAUGAAUAUUUGAUCCUUUAGUAAGAUUAUAAGAAAAAAUUACCUUAGGGAUAACAGCGUUAUUUUUCUAGAGAGUUCUUAUCGAAAGAAGAGUUUGCGACCUCGAUGUUGGAUUAAAAUUAAGGCUUGGUGGAGGUGCUUGGCUAUUAGGUCUGUUCGACCUUUAAAAUUUUACAUGAUCUGAGUUUAAACCGGCGUGAGCCAGGUUGGUUUCUAUCUUUACAGAUGUAAUAUUUUUUAGUACGAAAGGACCAAAAGUAUCUUAUAUUAAGUAUAAGCUGAAUAUUAUU